UACGGGGGGGGCAAGCGUUGUUCGGAAUUACUGGGCGUAAAGGGUUUGUAGGUGGCCCGCUAAGUCACACGUGAAAUCCCUCAGCUUAACUGGGGUACUGCGUGUGAGACUGGCAGGCUCGAGGGCAGGAGAGGAACGCGGAAUUCCAGGUGUAGCGGUGAAAUGCGUAGAUAUCUGGAGGAACACCGGUGGCGAAGGCGGCGUUCUGGACUGUCUCUGACACUGAAGAACGAAAGCCAGGGGAGCAAACGGG
rnacentral:rRNA from 1 species